rnacentral:pre_miRNA from 1 species
AUAAUACUCCCUCCGUCUGGAAUUACUUGUCAUCAAAAUGGAUGUGUCUAGAACUAAAAUACAUCUAGAUACAUCCAUUUCAAUGACAAGUAUUUUUGGACGGAGGGAGUAGUAG